rnacentral:rRNA from 1 species
GUAGGGUGCAGGCGUUAAUCGGAAUUACUGGGCGUAAAGCGUGCGCAGGCGGUUUCUUAAGUCAGAUGUGAAAGCCCCGGGCUCAACCUGGGAACUGCGUUUGAAACUGGGAGACUCGAGUAUGUCAGAGGGGGGUGGAAUUCCACGUGUAGCAGUGAAAUGCGUAGAGAUGUGGAGGAACACCGAUGGCGAGGGCAGCCCCCUGGGAUAAUACUGACGCUCAUGCACGAAAGCGUGGGGAGCAAACAGGAUUAGAUACCCUGGUAGUCCACGCCCUAAACGAUGUCAACUGGUUGUUGGGGAACUUAAUUCCUUAGUAACGAAGCUAACGCGUGAAGUUGACCGCCUGGGGAGUACGGCCGCAAGGUUA